rnacentral:rRNA from 1 species
UACAGAGGGGGCAAGCGUUAUUCGGAAUUAUUGGGCGUAAAGGGCGCGUAGGCGGCCUGGCAAGUGGAAGGUGAAAUCCCUCGGCUUAACCGAGGAACUGCCCUCCAAACUGCUUGGCUUGAGUCCGGGAGAGGUGAGUGGAAUUCCCAGUGUAGCGGUGAAAUGCGUAGAUAUUGGGAGGAACACCAGUGGCGAAGGCGGCUCACUGGACCGGGACUGACGCUGAGGCGCGAAAGCGUGGGGAGCAAACGGG